GAGGAACUUCCGGGCUCCAUAGAGCACGAUGGCGGAUAACGUCCGCCCAGGGUGACCUGAGAGAUAGCGCAACAGAGAACAGACCGCCCGUCCUCGACGGGUAAGGGUGAAACGGCGGUGUAAGAGACCACCGGGCCUCUGGUAACAGUAGGUCGCAUGGCAAGCCUCAUCGGGAGCAAGGCCAAGCAGAUGGCGGUAAGGGCUGCUCGCCCGUGUCAUCGGGUAGGCUGCUAGAGCCUGGCGGUAACGUCAGGUCGAGAUGGAUGGCCAUCCGUGCCGUGCGUUCGCGCACGGCACGACAGAACCCGGGGUA
rnacentral:RNase_P_RNA from 3 species